rnacentral:rRNA from 1 species
GCCUACGGGGGGCAGCAGUAGAGAAUCUUCCACAAUGGGCGAAAGCCUGAUGGAGCAACGCCGCGUGGGUGAAGAAGGUCUUCGGAUCGUAAAACCCUGUUGUUAGAGAAGAAAGUGCGUGAGAGUAACUGUUCACGUUUCGACGGUAUCUAACCAGAAAGCCACGGCUAACUACGUGCCAGCAGCCGCGGUAAUACGUAGGUGGCAAGCGUUAUCCGGAUUUAUUGGGCGUAAAGGGAACGCAGGCGGUCUUUUAAGUCUGAUGUGAAAGCCUUCGGCUUAACCGGAGUAGUGCAUUGGAAACU